rnacentral:rRNA from 1 species
UCCUACGGGGGGCAGCAGUGGGGGAUAUUGCACAAUGGGGGAAACCCUGAUGCAGCGACGCCGCGUGAGUGAAGAAGUAUUUCGGUAUGUAAAGCUCUAUCCGCAGGGAAGAAAAAAGACGGUACCUGACUAAGAAGCCUCGGCUAACUACGUGCCAGCAGCCGCGGUAAUACGUAGGGGGCAAGCGUUAUCCGGAUUUACUGGGUGUAAAGGGAGCGUAGACGGCAAUACGAGUCGGAAGUGAAAUACCCGGGCUUAACCUGGGAACUGCUUUGGAAACUGUAUGGCUGGAGUGCUGGAGAGGG